rnacentral:lncRNA from 1 species
GUAAACUUUUAAAGUAGUGCCUUCCCUCAUGGUCUUGGUAUGCCUUUGAUGAGCAAGGAAAGCCUUUCUCUGGAAACCCCCAGCAGACUGCCCUCAGGCUCCUCUGCUAUCACUGCUACGCAUGCCAACAACUAAUGCCAAGCGGGACAUAGUGCUAUGGGCAUCGGCAGAGCAGCUCACUUUUGGUCAGCGUGUUCAGACGUCUGAUUUAGCAGCUAUCCUACAUCAGACAGGCUGACUCUGGGCAUACGAAGAUGAUUAAGACAAAAAUCCCUGUCCUCACAGUCCAGAAUGAAGGACAGACACAUAAAGAUAAGUAUAACACAAGAUGGAUCAUGAAUUGUAGCUAAUAUUUAUUGGGUACUUACUAAGUGCCAGUGACUGCUGUAAGCUCUUGGUGUGUUUUACCCCUUCAGUUCUCCCCAACCUCUGUUAGGUACAUGUCUCAUAGAUUGAUUCAUAGAUAGGACUGAAGCCUGGUGAUUGUCUGCGGUUUUAUAAGUAACAAGUGGCAGAGCCAGGAUGAACACCCAGUGGAUGGGUAUUAGUCCCACUUGGCCAUCAAGAGGUCCCACUUGGCCAUCAAGCUCUACUGUUUCUUGAUGAUAAAGUAGCACACGGGACCGUAAGUGGGUGGGGGGGGGGG